CCGGGUUGCGGACAGUGUCUGGUGGGUAGUUUGACUGGGGCGGUCUCCUCCCAAAGCGUAACGGAGGAGCACGAAGGUUAGCUAAUCCUGGUCGGACAUCAGGAGGUUAGUGCAAAGGCAUAAGCUAGCUUGACUGCGAGAGUGACGGCUCGAGCAGGUGCGAAAGCAGGUCUUAGUGAUCCGGUGGUUCUGAAUGGAAGGGCCAUCGCUCAACGGAUAAAAGGUACUCCGGGGAUAACAGGCUGAUACCGCCCAAGAGUUCAUAUCGACGGCGGUGUUUGGCACCUCGAUGUCGGCUCAUCACAUCCUGGGGCUGAAGUAGGUCCCAAGGGUAUGGCUGUUCGCCAUUUAAAGUGGUACGCGAGCUGGGUUUAGAACGUCGUGAGACAGUUCGGUCCCUAUCUGCCGUGGGCGUUGGAGAAUUGAGGGGGGCUGCUCCUAGUACGAGAGGACCGGAGUGGACGCAUCACUGGUGUUCGGGUUGUCAUGCCAAUGGCAUUGCCCGGUAGCUACAUGCGGAAGAGAUAAGUGCUGAAAGCAUCUAAGCACGAAACUUGCCCCGAGAUGAGUUCUCCCUUGGACCUAGAGUCCACUAAAGGAACGUUGAAGACGACGACGUUGAUAGGUCGGGUGUGUAAGCGCAGCGAUGCGUUGAGCUAACCGAUACUAAUGAACCGAGAGGCUUAACCUUACAACACCGAAGGUGUUU
rnacentral:rRNA from 1 species